AUCGAACGCUGGCGGCAGGCCUAACACAUGCAAGUCGAGCGGAUGAAGGGAGCUUGCUCCUGGAUUCAGCGGCGGACGGGUGAGUAAUGCCUAGGAAUCUGUCUGGUAGUGGGGGAUAACGUCCGGAAACGGGCGCUAAUACCGCAUACGUCCUGAGGGAGAAAGUGGGGGAUCUUCGGACCUCACGCUAUCAGAUGAGCCUAGGUCGGAUUAGCUAGUUGGUGGGGUAAAGGCCUACCAAGGCGACGAUCCGUAACUGGUCUGAGAGGAUGAUCAGUCACACUGGAACUGAGGCACGGUCCAAAGUCCUACGGGAGGCAGCAGUGCGGAAUAUUGGACUAUUGGCGAAAGCCUGAACGAGCCAUGCCGCGUGUGUGAAGAAGGUAUUCGGAUUGUAAAGCACUUUAAGUUGGGAGGAAGGGCAGUAAGUUAGUACCUUGCUGUUUUGACGGUACCAGCAGAAGAAGCACCGGCUAACUUCGUG
rnacentral:rRNA from 1 species